rfam:Danio rerio chromosome 4, GRCz11 reference primary assembly.
GGCUCUGUGGCGCAAUGGAUAGCGCAUUGGACUUCUAGGCUGUGAGGUGAGCCAUCCAAAGGUUGUGGGUUCGAGUCCCACAAGAGUCG